rnacentral:lncRNA from 1 species
CGACGCAGGUCGGAAGACUGUGCAUUUGCCUAUUGCUUCAUUCCUGGAAGCUGUACUGGAACUGUGAUUAAGCAGUCGCCACGGAGGUUCCCCAGAUGGAGGGAGAGAGGAGUAAGAAGUGAUCCCGAACAUAAAUAAACAUCCUGAAAGAAAACAAAAGAACCCCAGAAUUCUUAACAGAACAGUGAGUACUUUAAUAACAUGGUAAUUAUAAUAGAUCUUCUGUAAAAUUAGAUCUUACAAAUGUCUUUUAUUAAAAUAUUUGCCUUUCUGUU